rnacentral:rRNA from 1 species
CCUACGGGUGGCUGCAGUGAGGAAUAUUGGUCAAUGGACGAGAGUCUGAACCAGCCAAGUAGCGUGAAGGAUGACUGCCCUAUGGGUUGUAACCCUCUUUUAUAUGGGAAUAAAAUGAUCCACGUGUGGGAGUUUGUAUGUACCAUAAGAAUAAGGAUCGGCUAACUCCGUGCCAGCAGCCGCGGUAAUACGGAGGAUACGAGCGUUAUUCGGAUUUAUUGGGUUUAAAGGGAGCGUAGGUGGGUUGUUAAGUCAGUUGGGAAAGUUUGGGGUUCAACCGUCAAAGUGCAGUUGAAACUGGCAGUCUUGAGUACAGUAGAGGUGGGCGGAAUUCAUGGUGUAGCGGUGAAAUGCUUAGAUAUCACGAAGAACUCCGAUUGCGAAGGCAGCUCACUGGACUGCAACUGACACUGAGGCUCGAAAGUGUGGGUAUCAAACAGGAUUAGAUACCCGAGUAGUC